GACGAACGCUGGCGGCGUGCUUAACACAUGCAAGUCGAACGGAAAGGCCUGCUUUCCCUUGUGGAUUGCGGGUACUCGAGUGGCGAACGGGUGAGUAACACGUGAGUGAUCUGCCCCCAACUUGGGUAUAAGCCUGGGAAACUGGGUCUAAUUCCCGAUAGGACUGCAGGGUGGUGCCUGUUGUGGAAAACGAUUUUCUAGUGGUUGGGGAUGAGCUCGCGGCCUAUCAGCUUGUUGGUGGGGUAAUGGCCUACCAAGGCGGCGACGGGUAGCCGGCCUGAGAGGGUGGACGGCCACAUUGGGACUGAGAUACGGCCCAGACUCCGACGGGAGGCAGCAGUGGGGAAUAUUGCACAAGGGGCGGAAGCCUGAUGCAGCGACGCCGCGUGGGGGAUGACGGCCUUCGGGUGGUAAACUCCUUUCGACCGCGAGGAAGCCACCUGGUUGGAAGGGUGGUGACGGUAGUGGUAGAAGAAGCACCGGCUAACUACGUG
rnacentral:rRNA from 1 species